rnacentral:rRNA from 1 species
UAAAGAUUCAUCGCUGAUAGAUAGGCAUGCGUUCCAUUAGGCAGUUGGCGGGGUAACGGCCCACCAAACCGACGAUGGAUAGGGGUUCUGAGAGGAAGGUCCCCCACAUUGGUACUGAGACACGGACCAAACUCCUACGGGAGGCAGCAGUGAGGAAUAUUGGUCAAUGGGCGUAAGCCUGAACCAGCCAAGUCGCGUGAGGGAUGAAGGUUCUAUGGAUCGUAAACCUCUUUUAUAAGGGAAUAAAGUGCGGGACGUGUCCCGUUUUGUAUGUACCUUAUGAAUAAGGAUCGGCUAACUCCGUGCCAGCAGCCGCGGUAAUACGGAGGAUCCGAGCGUUAUCCGGAUUUAUUGGGUUUAAAGGGUGCGUAGGCGGCCUUUUAAGUCAGCGGUGAAAGUCUGUGGCUCAACCAUAGAAUUGCCGUUGAAACUGGGAGGCUUGAGUAUGUUUGAGGCAGGCGGAAUGCGUGGUGUAGCGGUGAAAUGCUUAGAUAUCACGCAGAACCCCGAUUGCGAAGGCAGCCUGCCAAGCCAUGACUGACGCUGAUGCACGAAAGCGUGGGGAUCAAACAGGAUUAGAUACCCUGGUAGUCCACGCAGUAAACGAUGA